AUGGAUCGAAUCCCCACCCCCCAAAACCCUAACCAACACCCAGCGGAGCGAGCCAUCGCCAUGGACUCCGACGAGGAGUGGGUCGUCCUCGACUCCGACAACCCCGCCGACUCCUCGGACGACGACCGCGGCGUCCUCGCGCUCCCCGCCUCCACCUCCCCCCUCGCCCUCUCCUCCUCCUCCGACGAGGACGACGACGACGACGAGGACGAGGAGGACGAGGACGACGACGACGACGGCCUGCAGUCGGCGGCGGGCUCGGAGGAGGAGGAGGACCCGUUCGAGGUGGACGAGGACGAGGACGCGUCGCCGGAGCAGCGGCUCACGCGGCCGCUCUCGGGCAUGUUCCACCACACGCCCUUCGACUCGGUCGCCUACGCGGCCUUCGACCCCGUGCGCAGCGCCAAGCAGCUCAUCCCGGACCCGGCCUUCUCCGCCUUCCCGGAGCGGGUCUCGGUGCUCGCCUCGUCGCGCGGCCUCGUCUGCCUCCGCGGCUGCGCCACCGGCUUCUACUACGUCGCCAACCCGCUCACCUUCCGCCGCGUGCGCCUCCCGUACCAGAACCGCGACCACCGGCUCGACGCCGACCCGGCCGUCGUCAUCACCUUCGAGGACGACGAGGACGCCGCGGGCGCCGUCGGCCUCGGCGCCGGCUUCCGCCACUACCACGUCGUCGUCACCUACCAGGUCCACGACGGCGUCUGGGCCGUCGAGUCCUUCUCCACCCGCACCUGGGACUGGCGCGUCGGGGACGACAUCUGCGCGCCCGAGACGGUCGUCGCCCCGUCCGGGGUCGGCGCGCGCGGCCGAGCCUUCUUCCGCACCACCAUCGGCCACAUCCUCUGCUACACCCCGGAGACGGGCUGCGUCGACCUCAUCCCCGCGCCCCAGGAGGUCGAGGGCCGCAAGGACUGGGAGAUCGGCGAGAUGGAGGGCAACUUCUGCGUCGCCUGCGUCGACCAGGCCGCCAAGGAGGUGGCCGUGCUCUACAUGGUGCCCGGCGACAGCGCCGACCAGGUCACCUGGGCCUGGGCAGGCCAGUUCCACGCCAACAAGAUGGGCUACCACGACAGGAUGACCCUGCUCCGCUCCCAGGGCGCCGCCGAGGUGGUCAUGUGGGAUCCUCUCGAGCAGCUCGUGCUCGCCGUCGACUUCGAUGGCAGGGUCACCCGCUCCAUCGGCCCCCUCUCCGGCGGGAUGUACUACUCGGAUUUCAUCCCCUACGUCAACUCAUACGCCGACAUCUACAGCGAGGAGGGGGUGGGAUCUGUGUUCAAGACCAAUGAUGAAGCCGUGACAUACAAAGUUCCACAAGCAUCUGUCAAAGCAGAAAUUGAUUCCAACUAA
rnacentral:rRNA from 1 species